GACGAACGCUGGCGGCGUGCUUAACACAUGCAAGUCGAACGGAAAGGCCCUGCUUUUGUGGGGUGCUCGAGAGGCGAACGGGUGAGUAACACGUGAGUAACCUGCCCUUGACUUUGGGAUAACUUCAGGAAACUGGGGCUAAUACCGGAUAGGAGCUCCUGCUGCAUGGUGGGGGUUGGAAAGUUUCGGCGGUUGGGGAUGGACUCGCGGCUUAUCAGCUUGUUGGUGGGGUAGUGGCUUACCAAGGCUUUGACGGGUAGCCGGCCUGAGAGGGUGACCGGCCACAUUGGGACUGAGAUACGGCCCAGACUCCUACGGGAGGCAGCAGUGGGGAAUAUUGCACAAUGGGCGGAAGCCUGAUGCAGCAACGCCGCGUGCGGGAUGACGGCCUUCGGGUUGUAAACCGCUUUCGCCUGUGACGAAGCGUGAGUGACGGUAAUGGGUAAAGAAGCACCGGCUAACUACGUG
rnacentral:rRNA from 1 species